UACGUAGGGAGCAAGCGUUGUUCGGAUUUACUGGGCGUAAAGGGCGCGUAGGCGGCGUGUUAAGUCAGCUGUGAAAUCUCCAAGCUCAACUUGGAACGGCCAGCUGAUACUGAUGUGCUAGAGUGCGGUAGGGGUGACUGGAAUUCCUGGUGUAGCGGUGGAAUGCGCAGAUAUCAGGAGGAACACCGGUGGCGAAGGCGGUUCUCUGGGCAUGACCUGACGCUGAGGAGCGAAAGCAUGGGGAGCGAACAGG
rnacentral:rRNA from 1 species